rnacentral:ncRNA from 1 species
UGAUUUCCACGUAGAGCGCGUGGAAGGUAAACAAAAAAAUGCUCACCGAGU